rnacentral:rRNA from 1 species
AGCAGCCGCGGUAAUUCCAGCUCCAAUAGCGUAUAUUAAAGUUGUUGCAGUUAAAAAGCUCGUAGUUGAACUUCGGGGUCUACCCAUUGGUCAGGCUUAAUUGUCUGCACUGGUGAGAUGGAUCUCUACCUUCUGAGGAACUUUCAUGCCAUUUAUUUGGCGUGGUUGGAAAUCAGGACUGUUACUUUGAAAAAUUAGAGUGUUUAAAGCAGACUAUCGUCUGAAUACAUUAGCAUGGAAUAAUGAAAUAGGACGGACUGAUUCUAUUUCGUUGGUUUCUAGGAUCACCGUAAUGAUUAAUAGGGAUAGUUGGGGGCAUUAGUAUUCAAUUGUCAGAGGUGAAAUUCUUGGAUUUAUUGAAGACUAACUACUGCGAAAGCAUUUGCCAAGGAUGUUUUCAUUAAUCAAGAACGAAAGUUAGGGGAUCGAAGACGAUCAGAUACCGUCGUAGUCUUAACCAUAAACUAUGCCGACUAGGGAUCGGACGAAGUUAAUUUUAUAAUGACGCGUUCGG